GGAGUUGUAGCUCAACAAUAGAGCAUAUGCUUUGCAAGCAGACUGUCCCAAGUUUGAUUCCUGGCAUCUCCA